GAUUUGAAGGUGGAGGGGCCGAGUGCAAGGACCUCAGAGGAGGAUGCAGACCCAGCCAAGACCUUGCUCUCAGCCUGUGAGACCUGUGCAGAGAAGCCAGCUGACUGUACCAGGACUUCUGAGCAAUGAAACUGUGAGGGAGUAGAUGUGAGCUGUUUUCAGCCGAUAGGUUGCUUCUACUAGAAAGAUCUCAUUUGGGAAGAAAUAUCUGAGAACCACUGUCCACAUGGCCAUCAGACCUCAUAUGUAGUACAAUUCUCACCUGACUGAUCAGUGUGUAACUGUGAAGCAGGAUGAUCAAAUGCUUAGAAAGGCCCUUGGUUAUAAUGGACAAAAUAUAACAGCUGCAUCCCUAGGACGCCAUAGUGUGCUGUGCACAGGGAGAAGAUAAGUAAGUAUGAUGUCUUAUGAUCCUUCUGGGAACUUAAAUUCUCAAUAGACGCUCAAGAAUAUCUUUAAUCCAUCUGAUUCUAAAAUAAAACGUCUGCUCCUGGGAUUCUUGGAAGAACCUUCAGCAAGUCCAGCAAAUCUGCCCGAAUCAGGCAUUUAAUCCUGAAAGCUGCUGAUGGAGUAGGACACUACACCCACUUGGAGGUACAUUUCUCACCUCUGUGGGCAGAUUCUAGCUCAAAGUAGAUCUUAGGAGAACAUCCAGUGCUAGCAUCUCCUGAUGCAGAAGAGAUUCAUUUAUUCUGGGAGGUGGUUAUCAGUAUGGGUGGUUGACAUAGGUCAGGACAGCAGCAGAAACCACCAUGGCUGUGUGAACAAGAAUGACAUUCCUGGGUGAUCUUCCCUCCUGACUCACUGUGCAUUGAAGGUAGAUAUAAAAGGCACCUAGAUGUUGCCUUCCUCCACCUUAGGGACUCUCUGUCCAGUGUGCUGUGGGCAAGAGGUCCUUGAACUGGCUCAGAAUCUCUCACCAUCACCACCCAAUGUAACUCGGUGUGGUGGUCAAAGCUAGCACAACUGACUCAAUGAGAAGGGUUCAGAGAAUGAGAGGCUUUAUAUCCAGGCAUGAUCUCUGAAUAAAGCUCUGAAAUAGCCAAAUUAAUGAAAGGACUUUAUAUAUUACCUAGCCUAAAUGAAGAUAUCGAUGUCCAGGAAAACUCUCAAUGGAUAAGAAAAUUCCAGUAACAUUACAGUAAAAUCUUUUCUUUGCUGAAACCGUGUAAGAUGUAAGUUUGUCACAGAGUUAUUUCUUUUUGAAAUCUUCCUAGGUUAUCCCCCUAUGGUCAUGAUUACCUGACUUGAAAUCACAGUAUUUUACACAAAAAUCUUUCCUAUCACAAAAUAGGGUGGAAUAAGUGCUAACACUCCUGACGAGAGUUGGAAAAAUAGACUAAAGCUCCAUAGAUCAGGAAACAUUCUGGGUUACAGGAGUGCUCAGGAAGAGAAUUGCUCGUGUUGACCAUGCAAACCUUUUGUUAUCUGAGUUGUCAUUGUUUUAUUCACUCUAUUGGGAAGGUGACAUUUUAGGCAUCACUACUGUGAUA
rnacentral:lncRNA from 1 species